GGCGCGGAGCGUGGGCUCAGCGCCUUCUCAGAACCGCGAGCUGGUGCCCUUGCACGGCCGGCAGGACAAGGACGUCAUCGUCCGCCACCCAGGAAUUAGAAAGAAACGUCUUUUCUCUGCGGGAGCGUGGAGUGCAUCUUUCCGUCAGGACAGCCCUGUCAGCACAGCCACAUUGAAAGCUCCUGGAAGACAAGGACCACAGCUGAAGCCUCUUUGCAGUGCACUCCGUGUCUGGGUAGCCAGAGUACAACAUGGUUGAAAGAAAUUUUCAGUUUUGGUGUCCCACACUGAUGGAGUUCAAAUCCCGUCUAUGCUGCUUGCUCGCUUUGCUUCCACCCAACUCCUGUCCCUCCUGGCUUCCUUAAGGGACUCACCACAUCACAGAAAGGGUUUGUACUGUUUGGACAUGGCCUCUUGGGUGCCAUGUACAUUAAUGCUUUUACAUGAUUUCAUGACCCUAAGAAGCCAGCCACUAAACUCCCAGUUGUUUUCAUACCUAUAUGUGUAUGACGUCCGCCCUCAUCACGCUGUGCCUGAGCUGCACCCGAUCCCCGGCUGGAGUAAGAGUGGAAAGGGUGGAGCAUCGGAAAGGGUUUUGGCCUAUGGUACCAAGACUUAGAGGACACAAAAAUUGUAAAUAAUGAUUUUGAAAGCUUAAUAUCUAUUUAGCAAGAGUAAUGAUUUGAAGUGGGAAGUGCCAGAUGGUGUGCACUGUUAAUAAAGCCCAUCUGUGAGCCCUAUCAUGAAUUAUAAACUUGAUUUGGAGGAGAACAUCUCCUGCUGUUUGCCCCAGUUGCCAGAAUGUCUCCUUAUAGCUCGAGGGUCGGGUAUGAGGUGCGGCAGGCAGAGGAGCCUGUUGCUUAAUACUAUAUAAUAAUUGUUACAUGAUAGAAGAACCAAAAAUCACGAAGGCUAGCCUUUUAAGGUUAUAUUAAUAAAAUGUUUGUGGCAUCCAGA